GAUUUUGACAUUUAUAUUGUAGCUUAUAUAAUAAAAAUUAGAAAAGAAGAUAUAGCUUUAUGUUACAAAAAAGUUAGCAGUCAAUAUAACCGUCAUUUUGGAGCCUUCGAAAUAUCGACUUUAGCUCCUUCUUUUGAAAUUAUUCCCUUCGAACAAAUAACUGGCCCUCCCGUGGAGAAAAUUACAACUUCUAUGGGAAGAAUAUUUACAAAAUUAAAAGAAUUCUAUCACAGUAUUUGGUAAUAUUAUGGAAUUUUAGGAAUCUUCAGAAACCGAUGAAUCUACAGUGGCUGAUCAUGAUUUGUACCUCCUCUUACAGGAUUGGAACCUUAAACAUCUUUAUAACCAUUUUAUUGACCACCAUAUUACGAUCAAGGUAUUAAAAAUACUCAAACUAAAACAUAUUGAUAUGCUUUUUUAUGGUCUUCCUAUCGGUGAUAUGGUAACAUUUGAAGAUGAAUUUGAAAAAUGGAAAAAGACGCAUAUUGAUGAAAGUACUAAUUUAGAAAAACCAAGAUGUUUUAACCAACAACAAUUUGUUUCCGUUCAGUCCAAGAUACUGAAAACGGCAAACAAAUUUUAAAAUAUUAUGAAAAGAAUAAAAUUCUUCAUGAGGGUCAUCGCAAUUUACUUAUUGACAGGAUUUCCAAAUAUAUAGAAGCAAAGGGCUAUAAAUUAUCAAUUUCGCAAUGUGCUGAUUUGGUAAGGAAAUCUGUAAAAUUUUUCCUUCAGAAGAAUUGGAAUAUUAUAAUACUGGGAAAAUAGGUAAACUUUACAACAAGAUAUUUAAUUUAAAACGAAGAAUCUGACACUAACUUGCUGAACUAGUUCCGGAAAAAGAUUCCAGUUUCGCUAUUCAAAUUCUUCGAAGUGGACACUAUAGUAACAAUGAAAUGGACUUAUAUUGGAGGAAAUGUUAUCAAUGUAGAUUUAAGCAAAUUAAGGAAUCAAAGUCUACAUCCGAGAUCUUAAAAUUAUGGCCUGAA